CGGGGUGGAUUAGUGGCGAACGGGUGAGUAACACGUGGGCAAUCUGCCCUUCACUCUGGGACAAGCCCUGGAAACGGGGUCUAAUACCGGAUACGAGCCUGGGAGGCAUCUCCCGGGUUGGAAAGCUCCGGCGGUGAAGGAUGAGCCCGCGGCCUAUCAGCUUGUUGGUGAGGUAAUGGCUCACCAAGGCGACGACGGGUAGCCGGCCUGAGAGGGCGACCGGCCACACUGGGACUGAGACACGGCCCAGACUCCUACGGGAGGCAGCAGUGGGGAAUAUUGCACAAUGGGCGAAAGCCUGAUGCAGCGACGCCGCGUGAGGGAUGACGGCCUUCGGGUUGUAAACCUCUUUCAGCAGGGAAGAAGCGAGAGUGACGGUACCUGCAGAAGAAGCGCCGGCUAACUACGUGCCAGCAGCCGCGGUAAUACGUAGGGCGCAAGCGUUGUCCGGAAUUAUUGGGCGUAAAGAGCUCGUAGGCGGCUUGUCACGUCGAUUGUGAAAGCCCGAGGCUUAACCUCGGGUCUGCAGUCGAUACGGGCUAGCUAGAGUGUGGUAGGGGAGAUCGGAAUUCCUGGUGUAGCGGUGAAAUGCGCAGAUAUCAGGAGGAACACCGGUGGCGAAGGCGGAUC
rnacentral:rRNA from 1 species